rnacentral:rRNA from 1 species
AACGAACGCUGGCGGCAUGCCUAACACAUGCAAGUCGAACGAGACCUUCGGGUCUAGUGGCGCACGGGUGCGUAACGCGUGGGAACGUGCCCUUAGGUUCGGAAUAACUCCCCGAAAGGGGUGCUAAUACCGGAUAAUGUCUUCGGACCAAAGAUUUAUCGCCUUUGGAUGGGCCCGCGUUGGAUUAGCUAGUUGGUAGGGUAAAAGCCUACCAAGGCGACGAUCCGUAGCUGGUCUGAGAGGAUGAUCAGCCACACUGGGACUGAGACACGGCCCAGACUCCUACGGGAGGCAGCAGUGGGGAAUAUUGCACAAUGGGCGAAAGCCUGAUCCAGCAAUGCCGCGUGAGUGAUGAAGGCCUUAGGGUUGUAAAGCUCUUUUACCCGGGAUGAUAAUGACAGUACCGGGAGAAUAAGCCCCGGCUAACUCCGUG